rnacentral:piRNA from 1 species
UAGCAACUGGAUGGGUCCUUCAGUACAUC